rnacentral:rRNA from 1 species
UACGGAGUGUGCGAGCGUUGUCCGGAAUCACUGGGCGUAAAGGGCGCGUAGGCGGCCUGAUAAGUAGGGGGUGAAAUCCUGCGGCUUAACCGCAGGGCUGCCUUCUAAACUGUCAGGCUGGAGCACAGUAGAGGCAGGUGGAAUUCCCGGUGUAGCGGUGGAAUGCGUAGAGAUCGGGAAGAACAUCAGUGGCGAAGGCGGCCUGCUGGGCUGUUGCUGACGCUGAGGCGCGACAGCGUGGGGAGCAAACAGG